GACGAACCGAGCGAACGUUGUUCGGAAUCACUGGGCUUAAAGGGCGCGUAGGCGGGUGCUUAAGUCCGGGGUGAAAUCCCACAGCUCAACUGUGGAACUGCCUCGGAUACUGGGCGUCUCGAGGGUGGCAGGGGUAUGCGGAACUAUCGGUGGAGCGGUGAAAUGCGUUGAUAUCGAUAGGAACUCCGGUGGCGAAGGCGGCAUACUGGUCCACUUCUGACGCUGAGGCGCGAAAGCCAGGGGAGCGAACGGG
rnacentral:rRNA from 1 species